rnacentral:lncRNA from 1 species
GCUUGAAAGGUGCUUUCAAAAUCUUGAUCUCAAACAAAUGCAAGGUCCAAAAGGUGCUUUCAAAAUCUUUAUCUCAAACCAAAAACAAGGUUCUAAUAAGGUGCUUUAAAAGAUGUGAUCUCAAACCCAGAAACAUGGUUCCAAAGGUGCUUUCAAAAUCUUGAUCUCAAACCAAAAAAGGCUUGAAAAGGUGCUUUCAAAAUCUUGAUCUCUAACCAAAAAAGGCUUGAAAGGUGCUUUCAAAAUCUUGAUCUCAAACAAAUGCAGGGUCCAAAAGGUGCUUUCAAAAUCUUUAUCUCAAACCAAAUGCAAGGUCCAAAAGGUGCUUUAAAAAACUUGAUCUCAAACCAAAAACAACAUUCUAAAAAGGUGCUUUAAAAGACUUGUUCUCAAACCCAGAAACAUGGUUCCAAAGGUGCUUUCAAAGACUUGUUCUCAAACAAAAAAGGUUCAAAAGGUGCUUUCAAAGACUUGUUCUCAAACAAAAGGGUUUAAAAGGUGCUUUCAAAGACUUGUUCUCAAACCCAAAAGCAUGGUUCAGAAGGUGCUUUUCAAGGUAUGAUUUCA